GGAAACCCUGAGCUUACAUUCCCUUUCUUCUUUUCAAAUGUAGAUGUCUGACUCCACCCUUCAUGCAUUCACAUUUUCUUCCUCUAUGUUGGGAGAAGAAGUUCAGCUGUAUUUCAUCAUCCCCAAAUCCAAAGAGAGUCAUUUUGUCUUCAGCAAGCAGGGCAAACACCUGGAGAGCAUGCGGCUGCCUCUGGUUUCAGACAAGGUGGGUGAGAGGUCUAGAUGGUUGCCAGACACCCGGCACUAGAUCAGGUUCUCCAAGCUGCUCACAUCUGAGGGUUUUACUUUCCCUUUUUGGUCUUACUUUUUGGUUUUACUUUUCCUUUUCAGCAGAAUUUGAAUGCAGUCAAGAGCCCUAUUUUCACUCCUUCCAGUGGUCGCCAUGAGCAUGGACUCCUAAACCUUUUCCACGCCAUGGAGGGCAUCAGCCACCUUCACCUUCUAGUGGUCAAAGAAUAUGAGAUGCCGCUGUACCGCAAGUACUGGCCCAACCACAUCAUGCUGGUGCUUCCUGGCAUGUUCAACAAUGCAGGCGUGGGUAAGGGGCCCCCUGGGAUGGGGAGAAGGGCUAAGCAAACUGAGCUCCAUUCCCCUGCCAUAAAACUUCCAAAGGUUUCUCUGCCUCUGGACGGUGUCCUGCUCUCCUGGCCAGAAGUCUUUUGACGCUUUGCAUUUCUCUAUGCCCCUUACUACCUUUUCUGUAGUUUUGCAGAAAUUUUAACUUCCAAGGACUAGUAACUAAGGAAGUCACUGUAAUAUUGAGCACCCUGGGAAGGGUUUAAGAUUCUUCCCAGGAACUUGGUCCUUUGAGGCCAGAAUGUAACCCUGAAAAGAAAGAUGAUUUGAGGGGAGGUAGUGUUUCACCUGUUCUUAAGAGUCCCUGACUCACUGUCCUCCUAGGAGCACAUACCAAGUGCUAGCAGACGGCAACCCGUCCAGGGAAUUGGAAGAAUCAUUCCUGCUUGGAAGGAGUCUUUUCUGCUUUUCCCCAGGGAGUUUAGAAAUAAUGAAUUCAUUUCUCAAAGGGGCAAUGGUUGCAGAAUAUAAAGCAGAGCUGUGGGGAGGUAAUGGAGAUACCAAGAACACUUCAUUU
rnacentral:lncRNA from 1 species